UCAGCUGUUAGAUAUGUUAUUUGUUCAUUGCUACAUACAUGCAUAUAGUCCUUUGGUAAUUUUUUUCAUUAAUACAAUGUAUAUGUAAGAGUCUUGUGAACCAUUAAAUUGUUAUGAUCAAGUGUACGAAAUUGAUGACAAACAAUAUUUAAUGGUCUUAUUUGUUGUCUUGAGUCACUUCAAUUCCAUGAUAUAUAACAGUAUUGGUUUCAAAGAUUUACAUUAUUCGGUUGUACAAUUUGGUAGGACAUCUUAUCUCUGCACAGCUAUUAUUAUUAUCAUCACAUAACUAAAUCAUUAGUUACACAAUCAAGUAUGGGCCGAGUGAUCAAUUAUUUUGGUCAUUUUUAUUUUACCUAUCUUUAAAGUAUUGAAGAAAAAUCUCAAAAUAUUUUCAAACGAUUCCUAAAAUGGCAUCUAUUUUAAGUCGCCAAAUGCGUGCAAAAUAAGUCGCCAAAUGCGUGCACAAAUCUAGUGUUUACUAACUAAUACAUAAUGACUCGUCAUAUACAUGUAAAUUCAUUCUAAAUGUGCUAUAUGCAAUGAAGUAAAAAUAACUAAGAUUAUUUCAAUUACCAAAUUAUAUCUCAAAAACAGUGAGACAGAGGGCCAACUUAAACUAAAGUUAAUUCUUGAAGAACAAUUACAUAUAAUCUCUUUUCAUUUCAUUCUUAUAGAAACCUAGAUACCAUUUAAUCUCAAUAUUUUCCAAUACUAUUUUUCCAUUUUAAGUAUGUGAAAAGGUAAAUUUUUAAAAAUAAUUUGUCAAAGUUUGAAAGUCAAAUAUUGAGUUACAAGAAACAUACAGGGUUUGAAGUUCUUUGUUAUGUAAACAAAGAUUGAGUAUUGUUAUCGUUACAUAUGUAUGAGUUUCAAUCAAAUGUUGCUUUUUUGUUGAUAAUAAAUUUAUGAACACUC
rnacentral:sRNA from 1 species